GGAAGUAAAAGUCGAACAAGGUUUCCGUAGGUGAACCUGCGGAAGGAUCAUUCAUAAUAAGUGUUUUAUGGCACUUUUUUAAAUCCAUAUCCACCUUGUGUGCAAUGUCAGGGUUGAUUUUUCUCUCGAGAGGAUCAACCCCAAACAUCAACUAUAUCUCAACUCUUUGUCUGAAAAAUAUUAUGAAUAAAACAAUUCAAAAUACAACUUUCAACAACGGAUCUCUUGGCUCUC
rnacentral:misc_RNA from 1 species